UGAUCAGAAAAGACUAUUGAGGACUAACCCUUUAGCGUGUGAGACAGUAGAAGCUGUCUGGCUUGACUUGUGAGUUUGACAGAGGAGUAAGUUAGUUUACCUGAGGACAUUAUGAAACAUGAUGAGACUUGCAGCAGCGAAAUAUAAGCCUCAGCUCUGGCCUCCAAUUCUGGAUGUAGAGGAACUGUGUUUUGGAGCUUGACACUAACCACAGAACUUGAACACUCUGGGUUUAUGUGCUCUUGGCUAGGCUACAGGACUUCAGCUUCUCAUUAGCAGUUGCAAAGCUUAAGGGAAGAAACAGAAAUAUGCAGCAAUACAAGUAUGGGUAUGAUACCAUCAUUAGUGAAGGCUCACAUGGCAAGGCUUGCUCUUUCAGUGACCCCAGAAAAGGUAUUACCAUCACAGCUUGCUGGUGGAACUGUCAGCAAAAGAGAAUAAGAAUUAAUUUGUGCCUGAUAUUUGUAGUGCCUGGUCACUGAGAUUCAUGAAAAAGUCACACAGAAAGCAGCUUCCAUAGUAGAAGAUAAAGCAUGCUAAUUUCCUAACUCUGAAAAGCCAUGGGUUUUAUUAUCUUUUGGCUCAGACCUGUACUAGGGGAGAUACCUUGAAAUAGAAGUAAAAAAUCAGCUAAGUAUCUGAUUAUCAUGUGACAUCUCUUUUCAGCAGCUGCCAGAGGGUGGGGAGGCUCCCAUAUUAGCAAUCACAUGAAAAUUACAAUAUUCAAUGGCAGCACCCACAGAAUGUCCAUCUCCCUGUAGAAACUGGUUUUGCCGCUACAAGCACGUUCAUGUUGAGAUCAUCAUCUACUCAACAGUUCUUGAUUCCUUGCACUUCAGAGGAUGCGCCUUAUCUGUUUUGAAGGUGGAUGGCAGAGAACAUGAACACUGACUUUAUGUACAAGUAAUUUAAAAUAAUAUAGCACGUUUAUUUUAAACUGUAACUCCAAUAGGUUUUAUGUGCACCAUGUUACACCAGAGUUACUCUAUCCACCCCUUCUGGAGUUAGAAGAAGCAAUAUUAUAGAAGAUAAAAUUAAAUUCUUCUUGUGACAGAAAUACGUAUUUUAGAACAGCUGUUAUUCAGGACUAGCCAUAGCUUUCAGACCUCUCCAGAUCUAGUUAUUUCAAUGAGAACAACAGUCCCCAUGUCUUCUUUCUGGGUACGACCAUGUUUUAAAGGUGUUUUCACCCUAUGGUUCCAGCCAUCAUUGUUCUUCCACCUUCAUUCUGCCUGACCACUUCCAAGCAACUUGUUUGGAAGGGAGAUAUGAUUUUUUGAUGGCACAGUGACCCAGAUAAACUUACUUAUUACUUAUGCAUUUGGAGGGCAGCAGUCACAGAAGAAGGACAAAAUAGUAAAAGGCCAGCAAGCAAAUUAUUCUAUUAAGUAUUUAGCAUCUUCCUUCACACUGAAGCAGGCCCCACUUAUUCAAAUGUCACUAUUCACGGAGAAGCAAAAUUUCAGCUCUUGCCUCUCCAGAUCUACAGAUCUUCAAAAAAUUCCAUUCAGAACUGCAUAUUCUGGAGCACUGUUCCCCUGGACACCUGUGGUGCUUGAUCAGAAGCAUUUGACACCUGUUCUGCAGUCAGUUUUCUGAAAUCUGUGACUUUUUCAUCUAGGUAUAUGAAGGUACAAUUAUUAGAUUUAACUCUUAGCACUUUGCAAGCAAUGCAGUAGCCAUCAAAUAGACAAGAAAGCCAGAAAACAAUCACUGACAGCGCCCAGAUACUUCACAGGGAAGCUGUAGCUAAGUUUAUUAUUACCUCUUGCAUUACCUUUAAGAUUUUGCCUGGAGGGCAGUGCUGAAAUCAGGCUUCCAACCUGCAAGGGAAUUUACAACUACUUGCUAAGUCACCCUCCCUGCCCUGAAGCCUUUUUAUUCUAAAAAGGGACUCUUUUCAUUUUAUAGAAGGAAAGAUGAUGCAUAAACCAAAUCCAGAGUUAGAUUUUGCAGCAGACUGACACUGACAUGCCUCAUGUCUUGCGGAGCAUCCAUGAGACAAUCAGAAAUGUUUUCUGGGAACGCUGUGAGUUUGAGCCCUGUGCCUUUCUUACCCAGCCUCCUUUACAGACCAGGAAGACAUGGAGUAGUGAGUGACUGACAUUAUUAAGUCAUCCUUGUCAGUGAGGGCACUUAUGAAAAACACAUCUGGUUUUGAAAAACACAAAAUUGCAGAUACAAUGGAUAUGCAAAAUUCCUCUCCCCCCAGAAAAAAAGUUUUAGAAGUUGGUAUCUCAUUUCAGUUCCCAUAAGAACGAAUAAUCUACCAAACACCAGGUUUUCAAUGGAGAUUAGAGUGAGGUUUGCUCUAUGUUUUCUUUUUUUUUUAAAAAAAAAAUCUUGAGGAGAAAAACUCUCAUGGUGUCAGUUUAUUUCAUCUGUGUGAGAAAGGGCAGGAUGUUUUGCUGGUUAAUUCAUCAUGUGUGAAAAAUAAAAUGUUGCCAAAACCUACAUUGAACAUACUUCCUUAAGAAAAGUAGGUUACAUUACAUUAAGCCUGAAGGGGUUUAGUCACUGUAGAAAAGUCAGUCUAUAGCUUCUGCUCUAACAGCAGGCUGUAAUGCCCAUACUUGCCCAGAAUAUCAUUUCUCUAUUAUACUGUCUUGCUGGUCCCUGAUUACAAAAUGUUUCAUUUUUUAAUUUUUUUUUUCUUCUUUCUUUUUCUUUCUAUAUGUGAAAUUUUUGGAAAACUCAUCUAAAAUUCUUUAGACAGUAUUUCGUCUUUCUAUCUACAUAUAUCAAAACUUCAGCCAGAAUUCCUUAAAUCUGUACUUGAAAGGAGCAGAUAGUGAUGAACUGGAAAAAUGCAGAGGAUUGAUAACAUCUUAAAUAGUUUGCAUAUUUUUAUGUUGCUGGGACAUGAAACAUGAAUGGCACUUAUAACAAAAUAUUAGGCAUGUGAAGGUGACCUGUGUUUGUCACUCAAGUUGUUUAAAAUCUUUAUCAGCUCUCUUGAUGCUUGUUUUACAGAUGUAACCUCCCAUUUUCCAGACAAUGCAUACAGUGCACUCGGCAAGUGUACUUACUAUUUAGAACAGAAGAACAGUGCUUGCAUCUGCAGACAUUUGUAUGAGUCAUCCUCAUGAUGUUAAUGCAGGUUUUCAUGAAGCACCUGUAUGAGAAAAAGCUGGUAGAAUCAGCCUUCAAUUCCUGAAUGUAUUUUAAAGUUUCUUUAAGGUUUUUCAGGCUGAAGAAAGGCUCUAGAAAGACAGAAAUACAAAUAAGACAUCAACAGUGAAAUGUGGCCGUUGCAAGUUUUAUUAUUUGAGUGCUGACAGGUCAUUUCCCCUUUGCCUCUUGCAUAGCGUAAUAUUAUCACCAGUCAGCAGCAACCAUUUGGCUUGUCAGCAGAAGGGCAGGGAAAUCACACACCAGGCAGGGAAAGCUUCUUUGUUUCUUUCCCAGGGAAAUCCAUGACAGAAAACAAAGGAAGAAAUUAUAAAUGAUGAUCAAAUAAGAUAGAAUCAUCCCCUCAGGAAUUUCAUUCUCUUUUCACUGGGUGAGGAGAACAAAAGGCUCAAUGUUUAUCUGCUCUGCUCUUGAGAGAGCCAAGUCAGUUCUCUAACAGAGCA